GAUGAACGCUGGCGGCGUGCCUAAUACAUGCAAGUCGAGCGAACAGACGAGGAGCUUGCUCCUCUGACGUUAGCGGCGGACGGGGGAGUAACACGUGGAUAACCUACCUAUAAGACUGGGAUAACUUCGGGAAACCGGAGCUAAUACCGGAUAACAUGUUGAACCGCAUGGUUCAACAGUGAAAGACGGUCUUGCUGUCACUGAUAGAUGGAUCCGCGCCGCAUUAGCUAGUUGGUAAGGUAACGGCUUACCAAGGCAACGAUGCGUAGCCGACCUGAGAGGGUGAUCGGCCACACUGGAACUGAGACACGCUCCCGACUCCUACGGGAGGCAGCAGUAGGGAAUCUUCCGCAAUGGGCGAAAGCCUGACGGAGCAACGCCGCGUGAGUGAAGAAGGUCUUCGGCUCGUAAAACUCUGUUAUUAGGGAAGAACAAAUGUGUAAGUAACUAUGCACGUCUUGACGGUACCUAAUCAGAAAGCCACGGCUAACUACGUG
rnacentral:rRNA from 1 species